rnacentral:rRNA from 1 species
ACUCCUGCGGGAGGCAGCAGUGGGGAAUAUUGGACAAUGGGCGCAAGCCUGAUCCAGCCAUGCCGCGUGAGUGAUGAAGGCCCUAGGGUUGUAAAGCUCUUUCACCGGUGAAGAUAAUGACGGUAACCGGAGAAGAAGCCCCGGCUAACUUCGUGCCAGCAGCCGCGGUAAUACGAAGGGGGCUAGCGUUGUUCGGAUUUACUGGGCGUAAAGCGCACGUAGGCGGACUAUUAAGUCAGGGGUGAAAUCCCGGGGCUCAACCCCGGAACUGCCUUUGAUACUGGUAGUCUUGAGUUCGAGAGAGGUGAGUGGAAUUCCGAGUGUAGGGGUGAAAUUCGUAGAUAUUCGGAGGAACACCAGUGGCGAAGGCGGCUCACUGGCUCGAUACUGACGCUGAGGUGCGAAAGCGUGGGGAGCAAACAGGAUUAGAUACCCCUGUAGUCCCAU